UUUAGUGGUUGUAGUGGUUUGAAUGAAAAUGGCCCCCAUAGGCUCAUCCUAUUGGGAGGUGUGACCUUGUUGGAGGAAGUGUGUCACUAGGUUGGGCUUUGAGGUUUCAAAUGCCCAAGCCAGGCCCAGUGUCACUCUCUCUUUCUGUUGCUUUUGGAUUCAGAUGUGGAGCUACCUCUCCAGCCUUCUGUCUGCCUGCAGGUGUCUAUGCGUCCCACCAUGAUGACACUGUACUAAACCUCUGAAACGUAAGUGCAUAUCCAUUGUGACUGGGCAGUGGCGAAUCUAAGAAGCGGUGCGACAGAGCUGUCAAACAAAGAAAGAACACAGAAGUCUGGAGAAGAGAAGUGGUGUCAGUGGAUGAGCAGAGAAUGAUGCCAUUGCACCCCUGCCAUUGUGUGUAGACCUUAGGAGAGAUGGGAAACAAACUGGUCAAGGCUGGAUAUUCUGUCCUCCUGCAUGGUGCCAAGGCUUCCCUAAACACAGACAUAUUCUAGGACAUGAGAGCACAGGUAUUGACUGGGAUGGGAAGGGAGGAGGGAGAACGGGAGCUCUCCAGGUAAGUGUCCCUAACCUUACUCUGCUCAAUCAAGACCUUUUUUCUUUGCCUGGCAUCAGCCUGUCCCUGUCAUGAACAGAUGUGCCCUGUGGCACCAGUUAGGUCUCUUUACACUGACCUUUGGUGGUCAAGCAUUCUGGUGUGGACCAUGUGCAGAGUGUAGACAGAAUGCUUGCUCUCUUGACGUCACCCCGCAGGUGAUGUUCUAGUUCUUUUUCUGUGGCUAUGAUAAGAUACUCUCAUCAAAAAGAAACUUAGGGGAGGAAAGGGUUUAUUUGGCUUCUAUUUCCAGGUCACAGUUCAUUGCUGAGAAAGUUCAGGGAAAG
rnacentral:lncRNA from 1 species